rnacentral:antisense_RNA from 1 species
CCAUCCUCAUCCAGCCUGUGAUGAUGGAGCUGUUUUCACCAGAAACGUGAGGAGACUCAUACCACUUGAGUUCUGCUUAAAUUCAGCAUCUUCUCUCAGUUCAAAUUUAAGAAAAGAGAUACCACACCACCCACCCACACAUCCCAUUCCGGAACAGUAUACAAACUAAAGAUAGAAAACUUCUCAAAUCUACCUGGAAGUUGCAUAUUCAAAGGAACUAUUUGUUGGAGUGCCAGAUUAUUUAAGGGCCUUUGCAUGUUUCAAGUCCUCUUCUUAAAGUAAGAAUACUCUCCACAUUUAUAAUAGCAACAAAAACACCAAUGUCAGCACAAAAUGCAAAAACGGAGGCACUUCUAUGUCAUAAUGAUACAUCAGAGUUCUGCUCAACUCUUUUUUAGAAAAAGAAGCUCAGACUUACACACAUCCACUUUCUUAAGUAAAUAAUUGUUCAAUGAAAGUUACCCUGGGAGGAUUGCUGUCUCCAGCUCCCAAGCACUGCUCAUCUGCUGAGCGGGGGGACUCUGACUGUUACGGAAAUUGCUCUUAAAUGUAUAAAACACAGAAGAGAAUUUUUGGAAAAUCCCUUAUUAUUCAUUAAAGCAUUUUCGGGCCUCAUUAAUCCAGAUGGGUUAAUCGGUUGUUGAUUUGCCAGGUUGUUAAGCAUCCAUUGUCAGAUGCUGAUGGGGUGUGAGAAAAUAUAAUUCCGAUCUACCAAAGAGUCACCUGAAUGAGGCUAGCACUUCAUCAGGGAAGGCUGUAUCUUCCUCAGGGAAGGCUGUAGCUUCCUCAGAGAAGGCUGUAGCUUCCUCAGAGAAGGCUGUAUCUUCACCAGGAAGGCUGUAUCUUCUUCACCAGGGAAGGCGAUAUCUUCCUCAGAGAAGGCUGUAUCUUCACCAGGAAGGCUGUAUCUUCACCAGGGAAGGCUGUGUCUUCCUCAGGAAAGGCUGUAUCUUCACCAGGGAAGACUGUAUCUUCAUUAGAGAAGGCAGUAUCUUCUGGGGAUAAAUUAAGCUGGAUGCCCAGUUUCUUCUUUAAUCUCCAAAACUUCUCUGUAUCACAAAACAUUCCUCAUUCUUUGGGUGUUUUUUUUGUUUUGUUUUGUUUUGUUUUGUUUGCCUACCUAAGGUCUGAAACGAUGUCAGAAGCCAUUUUCAAAAGCUAGUUGGUAACAGGUCAACAGGUCAGUUGCACAUAUGCACUUAGGCACAGAAACCCAAUAUUUAAAGAUGUGUGUGUGUGUGUGUGUGUGUACAUGUCUGUAUACGUGUAUACACGUCUGUGUAUACGUUUGUGUCUACACAUGUUUACACGUCUAGACGUGUAUGUUUGUGUCUACACGUCUAUACGUGUAUACAUUUCUGUGUAUAUGUUUGUGUCUACAUGUGUCUAUGUGUUUGUGUAUGUGUCCGUACGUGUAUAUUUGUGUGUGUCUGCGUGUGUGUGCAUGAGUUCGGCUUUGACUUUGUUUCAAAGUUCUUAGCUAGAGCCUGUCCACAUCUUUAGCCCUUCAGAUACAAAUGGUAUUUGGGUUAUCGAGGGGAUUCUUUAGCCAGGGCUUAAAAACUCAACUUUCUUUCCAAACCUUGACUGACUGACAGUCACAUAACAGCAGUGAGCACAGUGAGAAAAGUCCCUGGAUUAGAAGUUGGAAAAUAUGAUUCAGAGUCCUGGUUCUGUUUUAAAAGAGGAAGUGACCAUCAUUAGCAA